GAUGAACGCUGGCGGCGUGCCUAAUACAUGCAAGUCGAGCGAACAGACGAGAGUGCUUGCACUCUCUGACGUUAGCGGCGGACGGGUGAGUAACACGUGGGUAACCUACCUAUAAGACUGGGAUAACUUCGGGAAACCGGAGCUAAUACCGGAUAAUAUUUAGCUUCGCAUGAAGCAAUAGUGAUAGACGGUUCUGCUGUCACUUAUAGAUGGACCCGCGGUGUAUUAGCUAGUUGGUGAGGUAACGGCUCACCAAGGCAACGAUACAUAGCCGACCUGAGAGGGUGAUCGGCCACACUGGGACUGAGACACGGCCCAGACUCCUACGGGAGGCAGCAGUAGGGAAUCUUCCGCAAUGGACGAAAGUCUGACGGAGCAAUGCCGCGUGAGUGAAGAAGGUUUUCGGAUCGUAAAACUCUGUUGUAAGGGAAGAACAAGUACGUUAGUAACUGAACGUACCUUGACGGUACCUUACCAGAAAGCCACGGCUAACUACGUG
rnacentral:rRNA from 1 species